CGUUAGAACUUCUUUGGCCACUUCGGUUAGCUGGGCUCUCUCGGUCUUUCCCCCUCGGGAGAGGGACAAAGUCGUAUAGUUGGAGCAGGCGUCUGAGCACAGGUCUCAGAUAGUUGAAUUUCGAUCUCGUUGUUGCAGGAGGUGUGUGUAAAAAGUGUGGAAAAUAAACGAUGCGAUUUGAAUCGGGCGCAAUCGUCACGGAGGAUACUCUUGGGUUUCAUCCGGAAAUUUCUUCGUUUUGUUCGCCUUUUCCCGUCUGCGGGACUCCCUUAUCGCGGUCUUUUGUCAUGGAGCGAGAGGAGGCGUUGGAGACGGUGGAAGAAAUUGCAUGGAAUCCGAGAGGGAUGAUCUUAAACCGAGGGAAUGCGUUUGAAAAAUGUUUUAUUAUCGAUCGAGAUAUACAUACCCCAAUCGUGCAAAAGAUGGUGUGUAAAUUGACCACGUUGGAACCCCACGAAUGAUAGAGGGUGUACCCCGUUAGACCAACGAUAAGCGCAUGAUUAACGAGGUCGAGUAUGGCGAGGCACGUGCCGCGUGUGCUUCGCCUCGACUCGUCGGAAUCUUCCAAAUUUGUUGAAUUAUCCGGAAAGCCUAAAACUCGCGCGGCAUCCACCACUUUUGCCAUCGGAAACGACUUCUCUUUUCUUCCUUCCGUUUCCUCCAUAAUUUCGAGAUAUCUGUAAUUUAAAAUAAAAAAGAAUUAUAAGGUCGCUUUUGA